rnacentral:rRNA from 1 species
UGGAUCCAGACUUUGAUCCCGCCUCAGGAUAAACGCUGGCGGCGCACAUAAGACAUGCAAGUCGAACGGACUUAACCAUUAGUUUACUAUUGGAGCGGUUAGUGGCGGGCUGGUGAGUAACACGUAAGCAACCUGCCUAUCAGAGGGGAACAACAGUUAGAAAUGACUGCUAAUACCGCAUAUGCCUAAGUACCACAUGGUACAAUAGGGAAAGGAGCAAUCCGCUGAUAGAUGGGCUUGCGUCUGAUUAGAUAGUUGGUGGGGUAAAGGCCUACCAAGUCGACGAUCAGUAGCCGGACUGAGAGGUUGAACGGCCACAUUGGGACUGAGAUACGGCCCAGACUCCUACGGGAGGCAGCAGUCGGGAAUAUUGCGCAAUGGAGGAAACUCUGACGCAGUGACGCCGCGUGCAGGAAGAAGGUUUUCGGAUUGUAAACUGCUUUAGACAGGGAAGAAACAAGACAGUACCUGUAGAAUAAGCUCCGGCUAACUACGUGCCAGCAGCCGCGGUAAUACGUAGGGAGCGAGCGUUAUCCGGAUUUAUUGGGUGUAAAGGGUGCGUAGACGGGAGAACAAGUUAGUUGUGAAAUCCCUCGGCUUAACUGAGGAACUGCAACUAAAACUAUUUUUCUUGAGUACUGGAGAGGAAAGUGGAAUUCCUAGUGUAGCGGUGAAAUGCGUAGAUAUUAGGAGGAACACCAGUGGCGAAGGCGACUUUCUGGACAGAAACUGACGUUGAGGCACGAAAGUGUGGGGAGCAAACAGGAUUAGAUACCCUGGUAGUCCACACUGUAAACGAUGGAUACUAGGUGUAGGGAAUAAUAAAUUCUCUGUGCCGUCGCAAACGCAAUGAGUAUCCCACCUGGGGAGUACGGCCGCAAGGUCGCCACUAAAGGGAAUUGACGGA